AGUGAACGCUGGCGGUAGGCCUAACACAUGCCAGUCGAACGGCAGCACAGUAAGAGCUUGCUCUUACGGGUGGCGAGUGGCGGACGGGUGAGGAAUACAUCGGAAUCUACUUUUUCGUGGGGGAUAACGUAGGGAAACUUACGCUAAUACCGCAUACGACCUACGGGUGAAAGCAGGGGAUCUUCGGACCUUGCUCGAUUGAAUGAGCCGAUGUCGGAUUAGCUAGUUGGCGGGGUAAAGGCCCACCAAGGCGACGAUCCGUAGCUGGUCUGAGAGGAUGAUCAGCCACACUGGAACUGAGACACGGUCCAGACUCCUACGGGAGGCAGCAGUGGGGAAUAUUGGACAAUGGGCGCAAGCCUGAUCCAGCCAUACCGCGUGUGUGAAGAAGGCCUUCGGAUUGUAAAGCCCUUUUGUUGGGAAAGAAAAGCAGCAGGUUAAUACCCCGCUGUUCUGACGGUACCCAAAGAAUAAGCACCGGCUAACUUCGUG
rnacentral:rRNA from 1 species